rnacentral:rRNA from 1 species
CGCGUAGGUGGUUUGUUAAGUCAGAGGUGAAAGCCUGGAGCUCAACUCCAGAACUGCCUUUGAUACUGGAAGUCUUGAGUAUGGCAGAGGUGAGUGGAACUGCGAGUGUAGAGAUGAAAUUCGUAGAUAUUCGCAAGAACACCAGUGGCGAAGGCGGCUCACUGGGCCAUUACUGACGCUGAGGCACGAAAGCGUGGGGAGCAAACA